rnacentral:rRNA from 1 species
AGUGAACGCUGGCGGUAGGCCUAACACAUGCAAGUCGAACGGCAGCACAGUAAGAGCUUGCUCUUACGGGUGGCGAGUGGCGGACGGGUGAGGAAUACAUCGGAAUCUACUUUUUCGUGGGGGAUAACGUAGGGAAACUUACGCUAAUACCGCAUACGACCUACGGGUGAAAGUAGGGGAUCUUCGGACCUUGCGCGAUUGAAUGAGCCGAUGUCGGAUUAGCUAGUUGGCGGGGUAAAGGCCCACCAAGGCGACGAUCCGUAGCUGGUCUGAGAGGAUGAUCAGCCACACUGGAACUGAGCCACGGUCCAGACUCCUACGGGAGGCAGCAGUGGGGAAUAUUGGACAAUGGGCGCAAGCCUGAUCCAGCCAUACCGCGUGGGUGAAGAAGGCCUUCGGGUUGUAAAGCCCUUUUGUUGGGAAAGAAAAGCAGCAGGUUAAUACCCCGCUGUUCUGACGGUACCCAAAGAAUAAGCACCGGCUAACUUCGUG